rnacentral:lncRNA from 1 species
UUGAGAGAGAGAGAAGCCAGAACACGAGCAGGGAAGGGGCAGAGAGAUAGACACAGAAUUGGAAGCAGGGUCCUGGCUCUAAGCUGUUAGCAUAGAGCCUGAUGUGGGGCUCAGACUCACAAGCCUUCGAGCUGUGAGAUCAUGACCUGAGCCGAAGUUAGCCGCUCAAUUGACUGAGCCACCCAGGCACCCCCAAAUCUAUUCUUGAAAUUUAUUUUUGUCUAUAGUUCCCAAACCUACUGUUUGGCCUAGAGGUGGAAGCAAACUCCAGAUGUCAUUUUGCUUAACUUAGAAUAUUCCAAGUGGGCUGAGAAAAACAAAGAAUAACACCUCAUACGGUUCUUGCCUCCCUUUUGUGCCUUUCUCUUCAGGCCAGAGCAGGUCAGAAUCUGAGCGCCAGGUCUGCUAGAAGGGAGGAACAGAGCUUUGGACUCCAAAUAAUCACUUACCAGGAGGGUCUUCCAGUCUGGAAAUGGUUUGGCUUUCUGCCUGGAUCAAAAGCAAGAACUGUAUUUGCCUUUGAGAAAAGGAUUUGUGACCAGACUUUUGUUUUCCAGUGCUGUUUUACAGAAAUCUGCAACCACAUACUACCCAGAUUCCAGCCAGAAGUACCUUGAACAGCAGAGAAAAUUCUUCCUCUCCAACAGUUGGCACACUCAGCAGGACACCACUCACCUGACACCCUGCAGUAGCUGAGAGAUCCUUGAGAAAUCUGACAAACAGCUGACAAAAGGUAGAGAUUUCAGGAGGCUGACAUGGUAAGGAAUAUUAUCUGUGGAGUCUGAUGGAGCAAGAGUGGUACAGGUACUUUUUCUCUCCUAAGUUUAGAUUAGCAGCAGAAAAUACUUUUUGGAACUGGAUUUUUGCAUUUAGUGGCUCUUUGGUUAAAUUUGGUAUGGUAGUUGG